rnacentral:rRNA from 1 species
GACGAACGCUGGCGGCGUGCCUAAUACAUGCAAGUAGAACGCUGAAGGAGGAGCUUGCUUCUCCGGAUGAGUUGCGAACGGGUGAGUAACGCGUAGGUAACCUGCCUGGUAGCGGGGGAUAACUAUUGGAAACGAUAGCUAAUACCGCAUAACAGUAGAUGUUGCAUGACAUUUGCUUAAAAGGUGCAAUUGCAUCACUACCAGAUGGACCUGCGUUGUAUUAGCUAGUUGGUGAGGUAACGGCUCACCAAGGCGACGAUGCAUAGCCGACCUGAGAGGGUGAUCGGCCACACUGGGACUGAGACACGGCCCAGACUCCUACGGGAGGCAGCAGUAGGGAAUCUUCGGCAAUGGACGGAAGUCUGACCGAGCAACGCCGCGUGAGUGAAGAAGGUUUUCGGAUCGUAAAGCUCUGUUGUAAGAGAAGAACGAGUGUGAGAGUGGAAAGUUCACACUGUGACGGUAUCUUACCAGAAAGGGACGGCUAACUACGU